CUUGGUCCUACAAGCUUCUGAGAGGGCAUCGAAGGCGAGUGGCACAGCAGGGCGCAGCACCCACGAGGCUCCUGCUCCUUCCGAAGGCCCCGACACUGACAAAAGUUACGGCCAUGUCUCAGGUUUGAGGUCAUAGCUCAGUCUGCACGAGCUUUCUUCUUGAGGUUGGGCCAUCGCAACGCUUUGGUAUCUAAAAUAAUAGCUUUUUAAGACAGUAUUACAGUCAUAUAACUUGUUGGGAAAAGCACACUCUAUGGCUCACAAUCUGAAUUAAGCAUGUGUCAUUGUGGCUGAAGAAGAAAUCUUCCACCUUUCAGAAACCUGAUAUUUUGGACCAAAUCCCUCUCUGAACAGGUUGUAUGCUGCCCUUUUCAAAAUCAAGCUAUCAGAAGAUGCCCUUCAGCAGAAGUGUUAAGAG